CGAAAGUACCAGGAGCAGUUUAGGAAAACUAGCCAAGCCAUUGCCGACUGCCGAGGCCCUCCAAAGUUCACAACGGUGCAACGCUGUAACCCCUCUCUUCGUCUCUCUCCUUCGUGAAGGUAACAAGCACAGAACAUAGACAACAUUCUUUGCUGUAAAAGUUUGAGUUUAGUUCGGUGGAAAAUGGAUACGGGUACGAGUGGGGAAGAACCCAAAUCGUGGGAUGAACUGUACAACAUCAAUUUAAUGCCGUCGGAGUUGUUUCUCAAGUUCCGGAAAGAAAUCGAGGGGUUUCGGGUUGGUCUCAAUAUGGAGUUCUAUAAUGUGCCAAUUAACGAGUGCCACGCAAAGUUGGUAUUGAAGCCUCUAUCCUAUGAUCGAAAAUGGAAGUUCAUAUACGAGCCUUUACAUCAUGAUGUGCACCUUCUUUCCAAGAAGAUCCCAGUUACAAACUUUCUAAGUCUCCAGGUUGGCAUAGGCCAUAGCUUUCAGUUCCAUGCCACUGGUUGGAAAUGGAAGCUUACUACUUGUUUGGGUGGAGAUGGUGUAUCUAGGAUCCGGAAUAAGACAUCACUUGGGCUGUGCCCUGGCGUGGAUUUGCGGUUUGGGUGGAGAGCAGACUAUGUCUUUCCAGAAAUUACUGGGGCUGUAGGCACGGGUGAACCACUGUUCAAUAUGAACUCAGGACGCUUGCAAGCAUCGUUUGACCGCGUUGAGGCCAUUUUCACUCACAAAUCUCAUAUCGACUUGCCAAAAGACCAGGUGAGCUCAUGUAUCGAUUCUUUGAAUGCGUCUCUUUACUUCAUUAUUUCGGUUACUGUAGAUGCUGAUAUCUAGUGAUUUGCUUACAUACACAAAACUUUGAGAUUCGCACACACCUUGAGAAGGUUGAAAGUGGAGCGUGCAUAUCGUUCUCCUAUCCCUGUUACAGCCAUUUUUGGGAUUAGUCCUUUUACAUCACAUGUAUGUCAUACAGCUGUACGUUGAACUCUAUUGUGAUUGUGAUGCGCGCUGUUUACGGGAAGCAAUGUAUCUUCUCUUUAGGACCUUUAAUUUUCUGGAACUUUGAUUGUUCGUUUUAUAGUAGGAUAAAAAACACCUCUAAAAACUUUUUAUUUGGUAUGAUUAGCAGGAAUGUUCAAAGGAUUCGGACUGUGUUUUGAAUGAUGCAACUGAAAGACUGGAAGUGUAAUCCCAGCA